rnacentral:rRNA from 1 species
UACGUAGGAGACGAGCGUUGUCCGGAGUUACUGGGCGUAAAGGGUGCGCAGGCGGCCUGGCGCGUCGCGAGUGAAAUCUCCCGGCUCAACUGGGAGGGCGGUCGCGAGACGGCGAGGCUUGAGGCGUGGAGAGGGGCGUGGAAUUCCGGGUGGAGCGGUGAAAUGCGUAGAGAUCCGGAGGAACACCGACGGCGUAGGCAGCGCCCUGGACACGACCUGACGCUCAGGCACGAAAGCCAGGGGAGCGAACGGG